UUACGGCAAUAUCAGGUUGACACACCGGUUCCCGUAUGACCACCGGAGUUAAUCAAGGUUGAGCCUGAUCGGUACCUAGAUGGAUGACAACUUGGUAAUACCAGGUUCUGUAA